rnacentral:rRNA from 1 species
GAUGAACGCUAGCUACAGGCUUAACACAUGCAAGUCGAGGGGAAACGAUAGAGAAAGCUUGCUUUUUCUAGGCGUCGAACGGCGCACGGGUGUGUAACGCGUAUCCAACCUGCCCAUCACUUGGGGAUAACCUUGCGAAAGUCAGCCUAAUACCCAAUGACGUCCAUAGAAGACAUCUGAAAUGGCUUACUGAUUUAUCGGUGAUGGAUGGUGAUGCGUCUGAUAAGCUUGUGGGCGGGGUAACGGCCCACCAAGGCGACGUUCAGUAGGGGUUCGGAGAGGAAGGUCCACCAGAUUGGAGCUAAGACACGGUCCAAACUCGUACGGGAGGCAGCAGUGUGGAAUAUAGUUCAAUGGACGAUGGUCUGAACCAGCCAAGUAGCGUGCAGAGUUACGGCCCUAUGGGUAGUAUACUGCUUUUAUAAGAGAAUAAAGUGGGAGUCGUGACUCCUUUUGCAUGUACCUUAUGAAUAAGGACCGGCUAAUUCCGUGCCAGCAGCCGCCGUAA